GACGAACGCUGGCGGCGUGCUUAACACAUGCAAGUCGAACGGAAAGGCCAUGCUUUUGUGGGUUGCUCGAGAGGCGAACGGGUGAGUAAAACGUGAGUAACCUGCCCUUGACUUUGGGAUAACUUCAGGAGACUGGGGCGAAUAUCGGGUAGGAGCUUCUGAUGCAUGGUGGGGGUUGGAAAAUUUCGGCGGUUGGGGAUGGACUCGCGGCUUAUCAGCUUGUUGGUGGGGUAGUGGCUUACCAAGGCUUUGACGGGUAGCCGGCCUGAGAGGGUGACCGGCCACAUUGGGACUGAGAGACGGCCCAGACGCCAACGGGAGGCAGCAGUGGGGAAUAUUGCACAAUGGGCGGAAGCCUGAUGCAGCAACGCCGCGUGCGGGAUGACGGCCUUCGGGUUGUAAACCGCUUUCGACGGUGACGAAGCGUGAGUGACGGUAAUGGGUAAAGAAGCACCGGCUAACUACGUG
rnacentral:rRNA from 1 species